GGCAAGAUGGCCGAGCGGUUAAGGCGCUGCACUCGAAAUGCAGUCCCUUCGGGGACCUGAGUUCGAAUCUCAGUCUUGUCG